rnacentral:rRNA from 1 species
UUUUCCCAGUCACGACGUUGUAAAACGACGGCCAGUGAAUUCGAGCUCGGUACCCGGGGAUCCGAUCAGGCCUAACACAUGCAAGUCGAACGCCCUCUUCGGAGGGAGUGGCGCACGGGUGCGUAACGCGUGGGAACCUGCCCUUAGGUUCGGAAUAACUCAGAGAAAUUUGAGCUAAUACCGGAUAAUGUCUUCGGACCAAAGAUUUAUCGCCUUUGGAUGGGCCCGCGUUGGAUUAGCUAGUUGGUGGGGUAAAGGCCUACCAAGGCGACGAUCCAUAGCUGGUCUGAGAGGAUGAUCAGCCACACUGGGACUGAGACACGGCCCAGACUCCUACGGGAGGCAGCAGUGGGGAAUAUUGGACAAUGGGCGAAAGCCUGAUCCAGCAAUGCCGCGUGAGUGAUGAAGGCCUUAGGGUGGUAAAGCUC